CCGGCACGGGUGAGUAACACGUAUCCAACCUGCCGUCUACUCUUGGACAGCCUUCUGAAAGGAAGAUUAAUACAAGAUGGCAUCAUGAGUCCGCAUGUUCACAUGAUUAAAGGUAUUCCGGUAGACGAUGGGGAUGCGUUCCAUUAGAUAGUAGGCGGGGUAACGGCCCACCUAGUCUUCGAUGGACAGGGGUUCUGAGAGGAAGGUCCCCCACAUUGGAACUGAGACACGGUCCAA
rnacentral:rRNA from 1 species